GCGCCUAUAGCUCAGCUGGUAGAGCAACUCCCUCUUAAGGAGAUGGUCGUGGGUUCGAAUCCCUCUGGGCGCACC
rnacentral:tRNA from 1 species